rnacentral:rRNA from 1 species
AGGGAAUAUUGGACAAUGGGGGCAACCCUGAUCCAGCCAUGCCGCGUGAGUGAAGAAGGCCCUCGGGUUGUAAAGCUCUUUUGUCCGGAAAGAAAAGCAUUCGGUGAAUACCCGGAUGUUCUGACGGUACCGGAAGAAUAAGCACCGGCUAACUUCGUGCCAGCAGCCGCGGUAAUACGAAGGGUGCAAGCGUUACUCGGAAUUACUGGGCGUAAAGCGUGCGUAGGUGGUUGUUUAAGUCUGAUGUGAAAGCCCUGGGCUCAACCUGGGAACUGCCUUUGUGACUGCAAGGCUGAAGUGCGGCAGAGGGGGAUGGAAUUCCGCGUGUAGCAGUGAAAUGCGUAGAUAUGCGGAGGAACACCGAUGGCGAAGGCAAUCCCCUGGGCCUGCACUGACGCUCAUGCACGAAAGCGUGGGGAGCAAACA